CGGCAGUGUAUGAGGGGUUGAAGUAUGGUUGCUAGUAUUGGCCAAGACUCAGCUAUUGUUAGAGGGCAUACUCCUAAAUUAGGUUUUCAAUCUUGUCUCCCUUUUAAGUUAGGUUGCAGGUCCUCCACAAGGACUCAAAUAUAGAAAUACAGGAUCCUUCUCAGGCCAUAUUUAGUUUGCUUUAACAGGGCAUUAUGUGAAUACAUACUGUAUUCCAUUAAGAGAUCCUUGCUCUGAAGAAAUUUUAAAAGUGAAAAAAACCUUUCACAUCUGGAGAGCGCAUCUUUGGAAUGCAAUGUGAGAGAACAUUCCCCAGGAGAUGGAAACAUAUUUAUGAUCUCCAAGUUAUAGAUAUUCUUUCAGAUCCUGCAUACUGAAACUACUGAUGCCAGCUGGUCUGUAGGAUUCUAUGAGAAGUUGACUCACCAAUGAAUGAAGUUUCCACAUCCUGAUGAUCUCAUCCCCUUGCCACAAUGAAUCAACAGCCCCAAUUUUCCAGCCCCUUGCCCUCCAAAAUCUCCUUAAAAACCCCAGUCCAGAACUCCCCGGAGGAUAUGGAUUUGAGGAUUCCUCUCGUCUCUCUACUUGGCUGCCCUGCAAUCAUUAAACUCUUUCUCUGCUGCAAACCAUGCUGUCUCAGUGUAUUGGUCUAUUA
rnacentral:lncRNA from 1 species